rnacentral:rRNA from 1 species
UACAGAGGUCUCGAGCGUUGUUCGGAUUCAUUGGGCGUAAAGGGCGCGUAGGCGGCGGGGUAAGUCUGGUGUGAAAUCUAGGAGCUCAACUCCUAAACUGCACUGGAUACUGCUCUGCUAGAGGACUGGAGAGGAGACUGGAAUUCACGGUGUAGCAGUGAAAUGCGCAGAUAUCAGGAGGAACACCAAUUGCGAAGGCAGCUCGCUGGGACGUUACUGACGCUGAGACGCGAAAGCGUGGGGAGCAAACAGG